GAGUACCACGGGACACGUGAAACCCUGUGGGAAGCAGGAGGGACCACCCUCCAAGGCUAAAUACUACCUAGUGACCGAUAGCGUAUAGUACCGUGAGGGAAAGGUGAAAAGAACCCCGGGAGGGGAGUGAAAUAGAACCUGAAACCCUGCACUUACAAGCUGUGGAAGCACAUUUCUUGUGUGACCGCGUACUUUUUGUAGAACGGGCCAACGAGUUACGUUAAGUAGCAAGGUUAAGCACUUAAGGUGCGGAGCCGUAGCGAAAGCGAGUUUUAACUGAGCGUUCAGUUACUUGACGUAGACCCGAAACCGGGCGACCUACCCA
rnacentral:rRNA from 1 species